rnacentral:rRNA from 1 species
ACUCCUACGGGAGGCAGCAGUGGGAAUAUUGGACAAUGGGAACCGUAGCAUCCAGCCAUGCCGCGCUGUGUGAAGAAGGCCUUAUGGUUGUAAAGCACUUUAAGCGAGGAGGAGGCUACUAGUAUUAAUACUACUGGAUAGUGGACGUUACUCGCAGAAUAAGCACCGGCUAACUCUGUGCCAGCAGCCGCGGUAAUACAGAGGGUGCGAGCGUUAAUCGGAUUUACUGGGCGUAAAGCGUGCGUAGGCGGCCAUUUAAGUCAAAUGUGAAAU